ACCUGGCUGGCUCAGUCGGUAGAGCAUGGGACUCUUGAUCUCAGGGUCAUGAGUUCGAGUCUCACGUUGGGUG